rnacentral:rRNA from 1 species
AUUGAACGCUGGCGGCAGGCCUAACACAUGCAAGUCGAGCGAGCGGCGGACGGGUGAGUAAUGUCUGGGAAACUGCCUGAUGGAGGGGGAUAUCUACUGGAAACGGUGGCUAUAAUCGCAUACGAUCUGAGGUGCCCCAAUGGGAUUAGCUAGUAGGUGGGGUAACGGCUCACCUAGGCGACGAUCCCUAGCUGGUCUGAGAGGAGGACAAGCAACACUGGACAUGAGACACGGUCCAGACUCCUACGGGAGGCAGCAUUGGGGAAUAUUGCACAAUGGGCGCAAGCCUGAUACAGCCAUGCCGCGUGUAUGAAGAAGGCCUUCGGGUUGUAAAGCACUUUCAGCGGGGAGGCGUUACCCGCAGAAGAAGCACCGGCUAACUCCGUGCCAGCAGCCGCGGUAAUAC